rnacentral:misc_RNA from 1 species
AUUAAAUUCUCAAACUCACUUUGGUUUUUUCCAAUUGUGAUGUUUGGAUUGUUGGGGGCUGCUGGCCUUGACAGGUCGGCUCCUCUUAAAUGCAUUAGCAGGACUUCUCAUUGCCUCUGCGCAUGAUGUGAUAAUUAUCACUCAUCAAUAGCACGCAUGAAUAGAGUCCAGCUCUCUAAUCGUCCGCAAGGACAAUUUGACAAUU